UAACUUGAGUGCAGAAGAGGGUAGUGGAACUCCAUGUGUAGCGGUGGAAUGCGUAGAUAUAUGGAAGAACACCAGUGGCGAAGGCGGCUACGUGGUCUGCAACUGACGCUGAGACUCGAAAGCAUGGGUAGCGAACAGGAUUAGAUACCUGGUAGUCCAUGCCGUAAACGAUGAGUGCUAGGUGUUGGAGGGUUUCCGCCCUUCAGUGCCGGAGCUAACGCAUUAAGCACUCCGCCUGGGGAGUACGACCGCAAGGUUGAAACUCAAAGGAAUUGACGGGGGCCCGCACAAGCGGUGGAGCAUGUGGUUUAAUUCGAAGCUACGCGAAGAACCUUACCAGGUCUUGACAUCUUGCGCCAACCCUAGAGAUAGGGCGUUUCCUUCGGGAACGCAAUGACAGGUGGUGCAUGGUCGUCGUCAGCUCGUGUCGUGAGAUGUUGGGUUAAGUCCCGCAACGAGCGCAACCCUUGUUACUAGUUGCCAGCAUUAAGUUGGGCACUCUAGUGAGACUGCCGGUGACAAACCGGAGGAAGGUGGGGACGACGUCAGAUCAUCAUGCCCCUUAUGACCUGGGCUACACACGUGCUACAAUGGACGGUACAACGAGUCGCGAACUCGCGAGGGCAAGCAAAUCUCUUAAAACCGUUCUCAGUUCGGACUGCAGGCUGCAACUCGCCUGCACGAAGUCGGAAUCGCUAGUAAUCGCGGAUCAGCAUGCCGCGGUGAAUACGUUCCCGGGCCUUGUACACACCGCCCGUCACACCAUGAGAGUUUGUAACACCCAAAGUCGGUGGGGUAACCUAUAGGAGCC
rnacentral:rRNA from 2 species